AUUGAACGCUGGCGGCAGGCUUAACACAUGCAAGUCGAGCGGUAACAGGUUAAGCUGACGAGUGGCGAACGGGUGAGUAAUGUAUCGGAACGUGCCCAGUCGUGGGGGAUAACUACUCGAAAGAGUGGCUAAUACCGCAUACGACCUGAGGGUGAAAGCGGGGGACCGUAAGGCCUCGCGCGAUUGGAGCGGCCGAUAUCAGAUUAGCUAGUUGGUGGGGUAAAAGCCCACCAAGGCGACGAUCUGUAGCUGGUCUGAGAGGACGACCAGCCACACUGGGACUGGGACACGGCCCAGACUCCUACGGGAGGCAGCAGUGGGGAAUUUUGGACAAUGGACGCAAGUCUGAUCCAGCCAUGCCGCGUGCGGGAAGAAGGCCUUCGGGUUGUAAACCGCUUUUGUCAGGGAAGAAACGAGUUUCUCUAAUACAGAGACUUAAUGACGGUACCUGAAGAAUAAGCACCGGCUAACUACGUGCCAGCCGCCGCCGUAAAAC
rnacentral:rRNA from 1 species